rnacentral:rRNA from 1 species
GAUGAACGCUGGCGGCGUGCCUAACACAUGCAAGUCGAGCGAUCUUCUUCGGAAGAGAGCGGCGGACGGGUGAGUAACGCGUGGGUAACCUGCCCUGUACACACGGAUAACAUACCGAAAGGUAUGCUAAUACGAGAUAAUAUGCUUUAUCGCAUGGUAGAAGUAUCAAAGCUCCGGCGGUACAGGAUGGACCCGCGUCUGAUUAGCUAGUUGGUAAGGUAACGGCUUACCAAGGCGACGAUCAGUAGCCGACCUGAGAGGGUGAUCGGCCACAUUGGAACUGAGACACGGUCCAAACUCCUACGGGAGGCAGCAGUGGGAAUAUUGCACAAUGGGCGAAAGCCUGAUGCAGCAACGCCGCGUGAGCGAUGAAGGCCUUGGGUCGUAAAGCUCUGUCCUCAAGGAAGAUAAUGACGGUACUUGAGGAGGAAGCCCCGGCUAACUACGUGCCAGCAGCCGCGGUAAU